rnacentral:rRNA from 1 species
AACGUAGGGGGCGAGCGUUGCCCGGAUUCACUGGGCGUAAAGCGGGUGUAGGCGGUUCUUUAAGUCGGAUGUGAAAUCCUACGGCUCAACCGUGGAACUGCAUCCGAUACUGGGGAACUUGAGGACGGUAGAGGUCGGUGGAAUUCCAGGUGUACCGGUGAAAUGGGCAGAUAUCUGGAGGAACACCAGUGGCGAAGGCGGCCGACUGGGCCGAUCCUGACGCUGAGACCCGAAAGCGCGGGGAGCGAACGGG